AUGACGAAGGUAGAAGACGAUGAGCAGCAGCGGAGAAGAUGGAGUUAUGGGUUAGCCUACGGGCUCUAGAUACCAUGACAGCAGUUAUGAAUUUGAGAGAAAACAAGCAAGAAGAAUAUUAAAGAUUUCUGAUUUUGUGUACUGAAUCAACCUAACCAACUUCCAGCUGUAUUAACAAACUCUUAACAGCUCUCAAACUAUUGUUCUAACAACAUUACAGACUUAGUCUAUCACUAAACAACACGUGGCUAACUCUCAUAGUGACAGGUAGCUGAACUACACUAUCACAAAAUUGUUAUUGCAUAUGUUUUGCUUUCCCUCCUAUCGUCCACCUAUUACUAGUUAUGUAACUCCAUUAUAUUCAACAUAAAUUUUGGUGUCCUCCAACAUUUCUUGUCAUCGCAUCAAUAGAACCAUUACCAAGGGAGAAGCCAUUACAACAAACAAGUUUUUUUUUUUUUUUUUUUUUAAAUUUCUCCAUCACAACAAACGAAUCAUUUAAAAAAAUUACUGGCAUGUUGUACUACCUUAUAUAAAGUACGUAAUUAUGUAUCAUUUUUAUUUACAACCACCGGAGGAGUGUGACUAUCAAACUGACAUGCCAUUUACAUUUCACAAUGUUAAAAAUGAUGAGCUUGUGAACACUAAAAUUGCGUGAAUAAUGGAAACAACGAAUUUGAGUGCUGUCAGAAUGGGCUUGGGUUUGGGCUGGAAUAGCCCUUCUUUGGUUAACUUUCAACUGAAGGCCACUCUAGGGAAAAGGGAGUGGCACAUCCUCUAGAGCGUAAAUGCUAACCAAAGGGAACACUAUGGUGCUACAUGCAUUUAAGUAAGAAACACAAGAAAAUAGGCAUUAAGGAAGAGGCUUUUGAGAGAGAAUUGAGGGUAGUGUAGCUGCCAUGGGGAUUAUAUGAACAAAGGAGUUGGAUAUAUAUAAUGUUGAGGAGCUCAGCAAGCUUCUUGGUGAUGUUGCAAUUGCUAAUGGUGGUGUCAUGCCCAACAUUCAUAAACUUCUGCUCCCAAAGAAGGCCGGGACCUCAUCCAAGAACGUAGGCGGUGAUGAUGACUCUUAA
rnacentral:lncRNA from 1 species